rnacentral:rRNA from 1 species
AGAGUUUGAUUAUGGCUCAGGACGAACGCUGGCGGCGCGCCUAACACAUGCAAGUCGAACGAGUGAGAGAGAGCUUGCUUUCUCGAGCGAGUGGCGAACGGGUGAGUAACGCGUGAGGAACCUGCCUCAAAGAGGGGGACAACAGUUGGAAACGACUGCUAAUACCGCAUAAGCCCACGGCUCGGCAUCGAGCAGAGGGAAAAGGAGUGAUCCGCUUUGAGAUGGCCUCGCGUCCGAUUAGCUAGUUGGUGAGGUAAUGGCCCACCAAGGCGACGAUCGGUAGCCGGACUGAGAGGUUGAACGGCCACAUUGGGACUGAGACACGGCCCAG